UGUGUGGAGAGAGAUUUUGCUAUGGAAGAGCAAGAGGAGCCACAGACUUCAGCCAGCCCAAAAUACAGCAAGAGGAAGUAAAGAAAAUGAGAGGAAGACGAAGAAGAAGAAGAAGAGGGGGGGAAAAAGGCAAGAAAGAUUCCUUUCCUCUCUCCCUCUCCUCUCCCUCCUUCCCUGUUUCGACUUUACCUCAGAAAUAGCGGAGGGACCAACUUCAAAAGGCAGUCAGGAGGGAGCUGGAGUGUGAAAUCUGAGAAGAGAAGCAAGAUGAGAGGCAGACUCGCGCUGUGUUUGCUAUGCUGUCCAGGAGCUGCUGGGAGCCUGUCCUGCCACCAGACUGAAACCUAGACAGAUGACCUGGCUGUAAGCUUAAUAAUUACAGAAGUUGCUACUAUUGAAGGCUGAGGCCCAUGUGGAGACAUACACAAGCAUCUAAGACCAGGGCCGAUGAACAUGAGAGGGACAUGUCAACCCCCCUGAACCCCCUGAGCCAUGCAGGAAACAAGUUUCGACUGCCCCUCCACUCACACACACACACACACACACACAUAUACACACACAAUUGUCUGACAAACAGGACAUCACCAGGGCACACAAUAGGCUGUAUUGCUGUAGUGUGUGAUUGCAAGCAGACACACACUCUCUCUCACACACUCUCUCUCUCUCUCUCUCUCUCACACACACACACACACACCCUGACAUCCAGCACAAACGGCAUCUUUGUUUCAUCAUAGUGUCGUCUCAAUGUGGCUCCAAUGCUGAGAUGCUAGAAGGCUAUUCGACUUUGUGAAGCAAAACAGAGCAAAUGAAUGUGUUUGUGCUGUUUUACACAAA